AAGGAUCAUUAAUGAAUUCACUAUGGAGUUGUUGCUGGCCUCUAGGGGCAUGUGCACGCUUCACUAGUCUUUCAACCACCUGUGAACUUUUGAUAGAUCUGUGAAGUCGUCCUUCAAGUCGUCAGACUUGGUUUGCUGGGAUUUAAACGUCUCGGUGUGACAACGCAGUCUAUUUACUUAACACACCCCAAAUGUAUGUCUACGAAUGUCAUUUAAUGGGCCUUGUGCCUAUAAACCAUAAUACAACUUUCAACAACGGAUCUCUUGGCUCUCGCAUCGAUGAAGAACGCAGCGAAAUGCGAUAAGUAAUGUGAAUUGCAGAAUUCAGUGAAUCAUCGAAUCUUUGAACGCACCUUGCGCCCCUUGGUAUUCCGAGGGGCAUGCCUGUUUGAGUGUCAUUAAAUUCUCAAACUCACAUUUAUUUGUGAUGUUUGGAUUGGUUGGGGGUUGCUGGCUGUAACAAGUCGGCUCCUCUUAAAUGCAUUAGCAGGACUUCUCAUUGCCUCUGCGCAUGAUGUGAUAAUUAUCACUCAUCAAUAGCACGCAUGAAUAGAGUCCAGCUCUCUAAUCGUCCGCAAGGACAAUUUGACAAUUUGACCUCAAAUCAGGUAGGACUACCCGCUGAACUUAA
rnacentral:rRNA from 1 species